rnacentral:rRNA from 1 species
GUGGGGAAUAUUGCACAAUGGGGGAAAUCCUGAUGCAGCGACGCCGCGUGAGUGAAGAAGUAUUUCGGUAUGUAAAGCUCUAUCAGCAGGGAAGAAAAUGACGGUACCUGACUAAGAAGCCCCGGCUAACUACGUGCCAGCAGCCGCGGUAAUACGUAGGGGGCAAGCGUUAUCCGGAUUUACUGGGUGUAAAGGGAGCGUAGACGGCAUGGCAAGUCUGAAGUGAAAUGCGGGGGCUCAACCCCUGAACUGCUUUGGAAACUGUCAGGCUGGAGUGCAGGAGAGGUAAGUGGAAUUCCUGGUGUAGCGGUGAAAUGCGUAGAUAUUAGGAGGAACACCAGUGGCGAAGGCGGCUUACUGGACUGUAACUGACGUUGAGGCUCGAAAGCGUGGGGAGCAAACAGGAUUAGAAACCCCGGUAGUCC